CUAGGUUUAUUUGUGCCAGUGGGUAAGGUAGGAUUAAAGGCGUGCCCGAGGCGUCAAGCGCACAAGGCGUUGGGAAAAACGCCUUCUCCCACGCGAGGCGGGCGUUGUUCGUCAGGCGUGCGCCUGGGCGCGCCUCAACGAAGGGCACGAAGAAGAAAAGGAUAAAAGGGAAGAACAAGAAGAAACCUGAAUUUGAAGAAGAGUCGCCCAGGUAUUUCCUUCGCCGUCGUCGUCGCUGCUGCUGAGUCGCGUUGUUGUCCAGGUACAAUACCUUUCUAUUGCCUUGUGAUAGCUGGUCUGGUUGAGAACUUGCAGUUGCCUUGUGAUUGUGAGGUAUGGCUACGAUUGAUGACUUUGACCAUUGAUGUUACACAAGUGAAAGUGAAUAUGAGUUCUUGGAAGUUCAACAAGGAAAAAUAUUCUCUUAUGUUUUUGACAAGUGCAAGGCAAGCUCAAGAUGGUUUUGCAAAAAUGAAUGCAUGUAUGGAUUGGAUUCUUGAAAAUAAAAAAAAAAGCAUAACUAUGGUCUUAUCUUAGGAUUUUGACAAUUGAACCAUCAAUUUUUUGUUGUUGUUGUAAAUGCAACUUGAUACCAUACAUUAAUAAUAUUAUAGAAAGAAAAGCAUAUGUGAGCUUUUA